UUUAAGCCACUAUUUAUUUCCUUUAAUUUUCGUGUUCUCUUGGUAUAACCGUAAGGGACCUUUAAAUUGA
rnacentral:tRNA from 1 species